rnacentral:rRNA from 1 species
AGAGUUUGAUCAUGGCUCAGGAUGAACGCUAGCUACAGGCUUAACACAUGCAAGUCGAGGGGAAACGGACAUCGAAAGCUUGCUUUUGAUGGGCGUCGACCGGCGCACGGGUGAGUAACGCGUAUCCAACCUGCCCAUCACUUGGGGAUAACCUUGCGAAAGUAAGACUAAUACCCAAUGAUAUCUCUAGAAGACAUCUGAAAGAGAUUAAAGAUUUAUCGGUGAUGGAUGGGGAUGCGUCUGAUUAGCUUGUUGGCGGGGUAACGGCCACCAAGGCUACGAUCAGUAGGGGUUCUGAGAGGAAGGUCCCCCACAUUGGAACUGAGACACGGUCCAAAACUCCUACAGGAGGCA